rnacentral:rRNA from 1 species
AGUGAACGCUGGCGGUAGGCCUAACACAUUCAAGUCGAACGGCAGCACAGGAAAGCUUGCUCUCUGGGUGGCGAGUGGCGGACGGGUGAGGAAUACAUCGGAAUCUACUCUGUCGUGGGGGAUAACGUAGGGAAACUUACGCUAAUACCGCAUACGACCUACGGGUGAAAGCAGGGGAUCUUCGGACCUUGCGCGAUUGAAUGAGCCGAUGUCGGAUUAGCUAGUUGGCGGGGUAAAGGCCCACCAAGGCGACGAUCCGUAGCUGGUCUGAGAGGAUGAUCAGCCACACUGGAACUGAGACACGGUCCAGACUCCUACGGGAGGCAGCAGUGGGGGAUAUUGGACAAUGGGCGCAAGCCUGAUCCAGCCAUACCGCGUGGGUGAAGAAGGCCUUCGGGUUGUAAAGCCCUUUUGUUGGGAAAGAAAUCCAGCUGGCUAAUACCCGGUUGGGAUGACGGUACCCAAAGAAUAAGCACCGGCUAACUUCGUGCCAGCCGCCGCGGUAA